CAUAGCCAGGUUUGCAGGUCACACACACCUUCAGCUAAAGCCCCCACCUGCCCAGGGACCAUAGCCUGGUUUGCAGGUCACACACACCUUCAGCUAAAGCCCCACCUGCCCAGGGACCAUGGCCUGGUUUGCAGGUCACACACACACCCU